AACGGCCGCGGUAUCCUGACCGUGCGAAGGUAGCGUAAUCAUUUGUCUUUUAAAUAGAGACCUGUAUGAAUGGCAUAACGAGGGUUUAACUGUCUCCUUCCCCUAGUCAAUGAAAUUGAUCUGCCCGUGCAGAAGCGGACAUAAAUACAUAAGACGAGAAGACCCUAUGGAGCUUUAGACAAAAGAUCAAACAUGUAAAGAAACCAAGUUAACCAAAAGGAACACAAAGGCCACGAAACCCGACGUAAACUGAUCCAAAUGUCUUCGGUUGGGGCGACCAUGGGGGAGAAAAAAGCCCCCACGAGGAACAGGGACUAAUCCCUAAGCCAAGAGAGACAUCUCUAAGCAACAGAAAAUCUGACCAAAAGUGACCCAGAAUACUAAUUCUGAUCAACGAACCAAGUUACCCUAGGGAUAACAGCGCAAUCCUUUCCCAGAGUCCAUAUCGACGAAAGGGUUUACGACCUCGAUGUUGGAUCAGGACAUCCUAAUGGUGCAGCCGCUAUUAAGGGUUCGUUU
rnacentral:rRNA from 1 species